GCCCAGGUGUCUGCCCGGCCCCAGGUGCCAACGGCCCACUGGGAAAUUUCCCGGUAUCCCGGUGGGCCAGUCCAGCCCUGGCCCCCUGUAACUCAGCCUGCCGCUGGGGAAUGGAGCUUGGGCUCCCAAUUCCCUGCAAUUCACUCUGCUGCUGGGGGACAGAAGCAACUAUAUCUGUCCCCUGUAACUCAGCCUGCCGCUGGGGAAUGCAGCUUGGGCUCCCAAUUCCCUGCAAUAUCUCCCGCUGGGGAAUGGAGCUCGGGCUCCCAAUUCCCUGCAAUAUCUCCCGCUGGGGAAUGGAGCUCGCGCUCCCAAUUCCCUGCAAUACCGGUGGAGAGACCUCGGUCCCAUCUCCACCCGCCACCUGGGGUUCUUCCCAGUAAUCCUCCGCAAUAUUUACCCAGUUGAAUGGAUCUGGGUCUCUGCUUCCCUGCUGAGCCUUCUCACUGGAGUGGA